AACGCAAAUGGCGCCGUCUUGGUAACAAGAUGGCAUGACUGUUUGAGUGCUGAAUAGUUUUGUUACUGCUAUUUAGUGGUAGAGUUGGCCGUGACUGGAUGUACUGUCUUGGCUGGAAUGUAUUUGUGCUGCAUCUGUGAGGUAGUGUGCUAGUGGACGCCUGUCCUGGGUCACUACCUAUCCCGGUGCGUUAAAGCACAUGGAUUCAAAUCGCGUAAAGCGAUAAAGAACCAGAUGGACCAACGCCUCAAAUCAGUCAGGGCUACCCGCUGAACUUAA
rnacentral:misc_RNA from 1 species